rnacentral:rRNA from 1 species
UAGUAUGAAUGGAUAAACGAAGGCCCAUCUGUCUCUAAAGUAAUAAUCAUAAAUUAUCCUUCAGGUGAAGAGACCUGAAUAUAAAAAAAGGACAAGAAGACCCUGUUGAGCUUUAUUUUUAUUUAUUAAUUUACAACAGCUUUUAAGUACACACUAUUAAUACACAAAAUUCAGUUGGGGCGACUAGGGAACAUUUAAAACUUCCCUUUAAUUCUAAGAUUACCAAAUCUUUAUUCUGAUCCAAACAACUUGAUCAAAGAAUCGAGCUACCACAGGGAUAACAGGCUAAUCCUCCUUAAGAGCCCAUAUUGACAGGAGGGA